AUUGAACGCUGGCGGCAGGCCUAACACAUGCAAGUCGAGCGGAGCGGCGGACGGGUGAGUAAUGCCUAGGAAUCUGCCUGGUAGUGGGGGACAACGUUUCGAAAGGAACGCUAAUACCGCAUCCUAUCAGAUGAGCCUAGGUCGGAUUAGCUUGUUGGUGAGGUAAUGGCUCACCAAGGCGACGAUCCGUAACUGGUCUUAGAGGAUGAUCAGUCACACUGGAACUGAGACACGGUCCAGACUCCUACGGGAGGCAGCAGUGGGGAAUAUUGGACAAUGGGCGAAAGCCUGAUCCAGCCAUGCCGCGUGUGUGAAGAAGGUCUUCGGAUUGUAAAGCACUUUAAGUUGGGAGGCGUUACCGACAGAAUAAGCACCGGCUAACUCUGUGCCAGCCGCCGCGGUAAUAC
rnacentral:rRNA from 1 species